rnacentral:lncRNA from 1 species
AAAUAAAUUUUGUUUACAAAUUACAAUGCGGAAUUAUAAUAACCUCUCAUUCUCCCAACUAUAACAUGUAUAAUGUAUAUAAUAUGUUAUAUACUUUAAUAGACUCUGAACAGUAUGCAAAACAUAUUGGAUUAGUUGCGUGAUGUGAGUUAUGACUCAGUUACUCGUUGUAAAUACAGCUGUGGAGAUUCUUUAUUAUUGAUAUAUAAAAUGUAUAAAUUAUUUAAGAGCCACAAAACUCA